rnacentral:rRNA from 1 species
GGCGAACGCUGGCGGCGUGCUUAACACAUGCAAGUCGAACGGAAAGGCCCUGCUUUUGUGGGGUGCUCGAGUGGCGAACGGGUGAGUAACACGUGAGUAACCUGCCCUUGACUUUGGGAUAACUUCAGGAAACUGGGGCUAAUACCGGAUAGGAGCUCCUGCUGCAUGGUGGGGGUUGGAAAGUUUCGGCGGUUGGGGAUGGACUCGCGGCUUAUCAGCUUGUUGGUGGGGUAGUGGCUUACCAAGGCUUUGACGGGUAGCCGGCCUGAGAGGGUGACCGGCCACAUUGGGACUGAGGUACGGCCCAGACUCCUACGGGAGGCAGCAGUGGGGAAUAUUGCACAAUGGGCGGAAGCCUGAUGCAGCAACGCCGCGUGCGGGAUGACGGCCUUCGGGUUGUAAACCGCUUUCGCCUGUGACGAAGCGUGAGUGACGGUAAUGGGUAAAGAAGCACCGGCUAACUACGUG